UACGUAGGGUGCAAGCGUUGUCCGGAAUUAUUGGGCGUAAAGGGCUCGUAGGCGGUCUGUCGCGUCGGCUGUGAAAACUCGGGGCUCAACUCCGAGCUUGCAGUCGAUACGGGCAGGCUAGAGUUCGGCAGGGGAGACUGGAAUUCCUGGUGUAGCGGUGGAAUGCGCAGAUAUCAGGAGGAACACCGGUGGCGAAGGCGGGUCUCUGGGCAGUAACUGACGCUGAGGAGCGAAAGCGUGGGGAGCGAACAGG
rnacentral:rRNA from 1 species